GAAGGAUGUGGAGCUCUUGGAGUGGGCCCCGAGGAGGGCCACUAAGAUGAUCAGAGGGCUGGAGCACCUCUCCUGUGAGGAAAGUUUGAGGGGACUGGGAUUGUUUAGCUUGGAGAGGAGAAGGCUCUGGGGAGACCUCAUUGUGGCCUUCCAGUACUUGAGGAGUCAAGUGCAAGAAGUCCUUACAAGACUUCUGGUGGUGUUGGUGUACUCAAGUGAAUGAACACAAGGUCAUCCGCACUGAGGAGAGCUGUUGGGAUGCAAACCCAAACUAUCUUUGUUGUAUCUUUUAUGCUCAGAUCCUACAGCCGUGUGG
ensembl:lncRNA